rnacentral:rRNA from 1 species
AUGUCCACGUGCCUAAGACAGCGUCACGAGACGAGUGCGGCGCGUAAAACACACAGAGAGAAAGUGCUAGCACGCUCUCUCCUCUAUCCCUCUCUGUCCGAAAUGAUGUCUACUAGCUUAGGGGGAGUCCGCAUCAGCAUUCAAGAGCUAACAACGCCCCGAGCAAACCGCGCACGGCACAAAGGUGGCCGGCCGGAGAUCCAAGCCGCUCCGCACGCGACAGGUGUGUGUACGUCGCUUCGUACCACGUCGUCCAGAUUUCCCACGCCACCACGCAACUUACUAUCCCACGACCACCGCUCCUCCUCGCGGCUCACACGCCCAGAUUUCCCUGACAGUGGUUAG